rfam:Salmo salar isolate Sally breed double haploid chromosome ssa12, whole genome shotgun sequence.
AAUGUAAUGUAAUGUAAGUGGCUCUGGAUAAGAGCGUCUGCUAAAUGACUUAAA